AGGAUCCCCCAGAAGAGGCCGUUUCUGCUGGUAGGGCCUUGAAGAGCCCCACUGCGGCACCGGCACCUCUGGACAAAGGAGUCCCAGUCCAGCCGGCUGGUCCCUCUCUCCUGCUGCUCCUUCACACCCCCAGGAGACUGGGGGAAGGUGCACAGGAGAGCAAAAGUCACAUACGCAGUGCUGUUGAGUUCUUCAUCAGCAAGCUCCUUGAGACCAGGUCUUCUACACAAAACCUAAAUACUCUGGACGUGCUUGCUGAUUUGGUUGAGCUGUUGUGAUGGACUGAAUGUUUGUGUUCCCCCAAAAUUCCUCUGUUGAGAUCCUAACCCCUAAUGUGAUGGUAUUUGGAGAUGGGGCCUUUGGGAGGUGAUUAGGUCAUGAGGCCCACAAAUGGGAUUAGGGCCCUUAGAAAGAGACCCCGGAGAGCUCUCGUGCCCCUUCUGCUAGCGGACAGCCAUCUGUGGGCCAGGAAGCAGGCCCUCACAGACAUUGAGUCCGCCAGCACCUUGAUCUCGGACUUCCCGGCCUCCAGAACUGCAAGAAAUAAAUUUCUGUUGUUUAUAAGCCUGUAAGUCUAUAGUAUUCUGCUAUAGUAGCCCGAAUUAAGACAUGCCAAAACAGGGGAACAAGUUGCUCAGCUGGUUAUAUUGUCAUCCCAAUACACCAAGGUUGUGGUUUG